rnacentral:rRNA from 1 species
CCAGCCAUGCCGCGUGUGUGAAGAAGGCCYUAUGGKUGUAAAGCACUUUAAGCGAGGAGGAGGCUCUUCUAGUUAAUWCCUAGGAUGAGUGGACGUUACUSSCAGAAUAAGCACCGGGCUAACUCUGUGCCAGCAGCCGCGGUAAUACAGAGGGUGCGAGCGGUUAAUCGGAUUUACUGGGCGUAAAGCGUGCGUAGGCGGCUUUUUAAGUCGGAUGUGAAAUCCCCGAGCUUAACUUGGGAAUUGCAUUCGAUACUGGGAAGCUAGAGUAUGGGAGAGGAUGGUAGAAUUCCAGGUGUAGCGGUGAAAUGCGUAGAGAUCUGGAGGAAUACCGAUGGCGAAGGCAGCCAUCUGGCCUAAUACUGACGCUGAGGUACGAAAGCAUGGGGAGCAAACAGGAUUAGAUACCCUGGUAGUCCAUGCCGUAAACGAUGUCUACUAGCCGUUGGGGCCUUUGAGGCUUUAGUGGCGCAGCUAACGCGAUAAGUAGACCGCCUGGGGAGUACGGUCGCAAGACUAAAACUCAAAUGAAUUGACGGGGGCCCGCACAAGCGGUGSAGCAUGUGGUUUAAUUCGAUGCAACGCGAAGAACCUUACCUGGUCUUGACAUAGUARGAACUUUCCAGAGAUGGAUUGGUGCCUUCGGGAACUUACAUACAGGUGCUGCAUGGCUGUCGUCAGCUCGUGUCGUGAGAUGUUGGGYUAAGUCCCGCAACGAGSGCAACCCUUUUCCKUAUUKGCCAGCACUYC